rnacentral:rRNA from 1 species
GAUGAACGCUGGCGGCGUGCCUAAUACAUGCAAGUCGAGCGAACGGACGAGAAGCUUGCUUCUCUGAUGUUAGCGGCGGACGGGUGAGUAACACGUGGAUAACCUACCUAUAAGACUGGGAUAACUUCGGGAAACCGGAGCUAAUGCCGGAUAAUAUUUUGAACCGCAUGGUUCAAAAGUGAAAGACGGUCUUGCUGUCACUUAUAGAUGGAUCCGCGCUGCAUUAGCUAGUUGGUAAGGUAACGGCUUACCAAGGCAACGAUGCAUAGCCGACCUGAGAGGGUGAUCGGCCACACUGGAACUGAGACACGGUCCAGACUCCUACGGGGGGCAGCAGUAGGGAAUCUUCCGCAAUGGGCGAAAGCCUGACGGAGCAACGCCGCGUGAGUGAUGAAGGUCUUCGGAUCGUAAAACUCUGUUAUUAGGGAAGAACAUAUGUGUAAGUAACUGUGCACAUCUUGACGGUACCUAAUCAGAAAGCCACGGCUAACUACGUG